rnacentral:rRNA from 1 species
GACGAACGCUGGCGGCGUGCUUAACACAUGCAAGUCGAACGGAAAGGCCCUGCUUGCAGGGUACUCGAGUGGCGAACGGGUGAGUAACACGUGGGUGAUUUGCCCUGCACUUCGGGAUAAGCCUGGGCAACUGGGUCUAAUACCGGAUAGGAGCCAUUUUUAGUGUGAUGGUUGGAAAGUUUUUUCGGUGUAGGAUGAGCUCGCGGCCUAUCAGCUUGUUGGUGGGGUAAUGGCCUACCAAGGCGGCGACGUGUAGCCGGCCAGAGGGGGUGGACGGCGACAUUGAGACUGAGAGGCGGCCCAGGCGCCGACGGUAGGCAGCAGUGGGGAAUAUUGCACAAGGGGCGCAAGCCUGAUGCAGCGACGCCGCGGGGGGGAUGACGGCCUUCGUGUUGUAAACUCCUUUCGCUAGGGACGAAGCUUUUUGUGACGGUACCUAGAGAAGAAGCACCGGCUAACUACGUG